CCAUCUAAAUAAGUAUGGAGAACUGACAGCAAACACACUGAAGAUAAAAACAUGUCCCUAAAACUCCCUCCACCAUCAAGCAGAGCACAUUACUGAAGACAAUAUCUCAAAAAUCCAUUGACAAAGCUGUGGUGAAAUAUGUGGUCCAAGGGCUCCAACUAUUCGCUGUUGUAGAACAAGAACCGUUUAGAGAGUUUGUUCAGGAUCUGCAGCUUAACUCAAAAGAUCUUAUCAAGGCCUACACUGCGCUCCAGGAUUGAUGAAGUCUCCAAGGAAAUUAAGAAGAAGAUGACUGAGGCCAUGAGAGGAAUUGACCACAUCGCCACCACCACCGACUGCUGGUCUGCAAGAAGACCGAGUUUCAUUUGGUGUUAUAUCCCACUGGAUAGACCCAGACUGUCUCAACAGAUGCUCUGCAGCCCUGCCUGUAAACGGUUGAGAGGAUCGCACACCUUUCAUGUGUUGGCAGGCGCCCUAAAUGACAUCUAUUCUUGAGUUUGAAAUCCAGGUUAAGAUUGUGUGAACAACAACAGACAACGGCUCUAACUUGAAAGCUUUCCAAGUUUUUGGAGAAGGUGAAAACAACGAGACACUGGAAGCAGUGAAGCAGCUCAGCCAGGACAGGAAGAUAGGGAAGAGGAACAAGAGGAGAGUGAAGAAGUGGAGUUUGUUGAUGUGGCAACGAUCCUGAAUGAAGAUGAUGGUUUUGAGUACCAGCUGCAGAAGCACCAGCGCUGUGCUUACCACCUACUCAACUUAGUAUCUACAGUCGAUGCCCUGAAAGCAACAUCCAGUGAGGCUUACAAAAAAGUGUCCCAUUUAACAUUUGGCAAGUGCCAAGCACUUUGGAACAAAUGCGGAAGAUACACACUUGCAGCCAAAACGGUUGAAGAUGCUUGCAACCUCCAGCUGCUGCACCCAAAUGCUACAAGGCGGAACUCCUGGUUCAUGGCUGUAGAAAAACUCCUGAGGAUCGACAAAGGAGAGGCGGCCAUCAGAGUUCCCUGCACAGACUUCAAGGUUCCAAUGUUCAAUCCAGCUGCACUCAUCCUUCCUCACAGAGUAUACUUCUACCAUGAGCCCAGUUGCUAAUGCCAUCAACAUCCUGCAGGCUGAAAUCAAUGUCCAGAUGUGGUGGCUACUUCCUACUAUCAACCUGCUGAUCACAAAAAUUGACCGAAUCAAGUUGUCUCUGAAGUACUGUAAGCCUCUGGUGGAUGUGCCACAACUGGGACUGAAGAAGCACUUCAGCCACAUAUUUCACGACCCUGAGCUGAUCGAAUCAAAUCCAAUUUAUUUAUAUAGCCCUUUGUACAUCAGCUGAAAUGUCAAGGUGCUGUACAGAAACCCAACCUAAAACCCCAAACAGCAAGCAAUGCAGGUGUAGAAGCAUGGUGGCUAGGAAAAACUCCCUAGAAAGGCCAAAACCUAGGAAGAAACUAGGAAGAAACCUAGAGUAACCAGGCUAUGAGGGGUGGCCAGUCCUCUUCUGGCUGUGCCGGGUGGAGAUUAUAACAGAACAUGGCCAAGAUGUUCAAAUGUUCAUAAAUGACCAGCAAGGUCAAAUAAUAAUAAUCACAGUAGUUGUCGAGGGUAGAGCAAGUCAGCACCUCAGGAGUAAAUGUCAGUUGGCUUUUCAUAGCCGAUCAUUAAGAGUAUCUCUACCACUCCUGCUGUCUCUAGAGAGUUGAAAACAGCAGGUCUGGGACAGGUAGCAUGUCCGGGGGAACAGGUUAGGAUUCCAUAGCCGCAGGCAGAACAUUUGAAACUGGAGCAGAAGCACGGCCAGGUGGACUGGGUACAGCAAGGAGUCAUCAUGCCAUUGUAGUCCUGAGGCAUGGUCCUAGGGCUCAGGUCCUCCGAGAGAGAGAAUUAGAGAGAGCAUACUUAAAUUCACACAGGACACCAGAUAAGACAGAAGAAGUACUCCAGAUAUAACAAACUGACCCUAGCCCCCCGACACAAACUACUGCAGCAUAAAUACUGGAGGCUGAGACAGGAGGGGUCAGGAGACGCUGUGGCCCCAUCCGAUGAUUCCCCCGGACAGGGCUAGAGGGAUAUCUUCAACCACCAACUUACCAUCCUGAGACCAGGCUGAGUAUAGCCCACAAAGAUCUCCGCCACGGCACAACCCAAGGGGGGGUGCCAACCCAGACAGGAAGAUCAAGUCAGUGUCUCAACCCAGCUGAUCACAGCUGCAAUCCUUAGGAUGACGCCACCAUCAGAAUGGGAAUGGACGACAUCAAGGACCACCUGGAAGAACCCUUGCUGCAGCUAGGCUAUGGCACCAGUUCAUCAGAUGAGGACUUCUUCUCUCCUGAGUGGCGCAGUGGUCUAAGGCACUGCAUCUCGGUGCUAGAAGUGUCACUACAGACCCUGGUUCGAUUCCAGGCUGUAUCACAACCGGCAGUGAUUGAUCGCUAGGGUUUGGUCGGGGUAGCAGUCAUUGUAAAUAAGAAUUUGUUCUUAACGGACUUGCCUAGUUAAAUAAAAUAAAUGAAGACGUCUCAAGCACAAGAAAGCUCCAAACAGCUGGACAGAUACCUGGCCUGUUCAACUGAUCAUAUGGAGUUGCUCAAGUCCUUCCCGGCAGUCUGUAAGCUGUCUCUGAGGCUAAACACACCCUUACCUGCAUCAACUGGCUUUGAAAGGCUGUUCAGCAUUGCAGGACUUGUUUUCAGCCCCAGGAGAGCAAGGGUAGAUUCCAUAAACUUUGAAAACCAGCUUUUACUGAAGAUGAACCAUAAAUCCUUCAACUUCACAUAAUGACAGCUUGAUGCUAGCAAGGACACGGAUGCCUUAUGCGUUUUGUUCAUUUAUUUAAAAACUUCACCAGUUAUAGAUGUCCUUGUUACAUUGGCAUGACCUGACACACUGAUUUCAAAUACAGUUCCAUCAGUGGUGAUGUCCUUAUUGCUAAAGUGACGUUGUGUGUAGUUCUGUACAUGUACUUUUUUAUUUUAUGUAUAGGGUCUAUUAUAGCAUGUUUUUUCUAAAGCAAAGUGACUGUGAUUGUAAGCUUACGUUUACUGGCUAUAUUCCUUCAUUAAGGCUUCAUUCUAUUUUGUCUGUGAGAUAUAUUUUGAAGUGUUGCCUAUUUGAGAAUCCUCAUCAUUUAAAAAAAUCUGAGCUCUUCUUGCAUCCGUAAGACUGUUACCUUUCAGAAAAGCUCAAACCAAAUAAAAGG